rnacentral:rRNA from 1 species
UGGCUCAGAACGAACGCUGGCGGCGUGCUUAACACAUGCAAGUCGAGCGGAAAGGCCCUUCGGGGUACUCGAGCGGCGAACGGGUGAGUAACACGUGAGUAACCUGCCCUAGGCUUUGGGAUAACCCUCGGAAACGGGGGCUAAUACCGAAUAUUCAUGUCGUGUGGCAUCACAUGGUGUGGAAAGUUUUUUCGGCUUGGGAUGGGCUCGCGGCCUAUCAGCUUGUUGGUGGGGUGAUGGCUUACCAAGGCGACGGCGAGUAGCCGGCCUGAGAGGGCGACCGGCCACACUGGGACUUUUUCUCGGCCCAGAGGACUACGGGAGGCA